GACUGAGUGGCGGACGGGUGAGUAACGCGUGGGUAACCUGCCUCAUACAGGGGGAUAACAGUUAGAAAUGACUGCUAAUACCGCAUAAGACCACAGCACCGCAUGGUGCAGGGGUAAAAACUCCGGUGGUAUGAGAUGGACCCGCAUCUGAUUAGCUGGUUGGUGAGGUAACGGCCCACCAAGGCGACGAUCAGUAGCCGGCCUGAGAGGGUGACCGGCCACAUUGGGACUGAGACACGGCCCAGACUCC
rnacentral:rRNA from 1 species